rnacentral:rRNA from 1 species
AGAGUUUGAUCCUGGCUCAGGAUGAACGCUAGCGACAGGCUUAACACAUGCAAGUCGAGGGGCAGCAUGAUUUGUAGCAAUACAGAUUGAUGGCGACCGGCGCACGGGUGAGUAACGCGUAUGCAACUUACCUAUCAGAGGGGGAUAGCCCGGCGAAAGUCGGAUUAAUACCCCAUAAAACAGGGGUCCCGCAUGGGAAUAUUUGUUAAAGAUUCAUCGCUGAUAGAUAGGCAUGCGUUCCAUUAGGCAGUUGGCGGGGUAACGGCCCACCAAACCGACGAUGGAUAGGGGUUCUGAGAGGAAGGUCCCCCACAUUGGUACUGAGACACGGACCAAACUCCUACGGGAGGCAGCAGUGAGGAAUAUUGGUCAAUGGACGAGAGUCUGAACCAGCCAAGUCGCGUGAAGGAAGACGGAUCUAUGGUUUGUAAACUUCUUUAGUGCGGGAACAAAGCGGUGUCGUGACGCCGGAUGAGUGUACCGCAAGAAUAAGCAUCGGCUAACUCCGUGCCAGCAGCCGCGGUAAUACGGAGGAUGCGAGCGUUAUCCGGAUUUAUUGGGUUUAAAGGGUGCGUAGGUGGUGAUUUAAGUCAGCGGUGAAAGUUUGUGGCUCAACCAUAAAAUUGCCGUUGAAACUGGGUUACUUGAGUGUGUUUGAGGUAGGCGGAAUGCGUGGUGUAGCGGUGAAAUGCAUAGAUAUCACGCAGAACUCCGAUUGCGAAGGCAGCUUACUAAACCAUAACUGACACUGAAGCACGAAAGCGUGGGGAUCAAACAGGAUUAGAUACCCUGGUAGUCCACGCAGUAAACGAUGAUUACUAGGAGUUUGCGAUACAAUGUAAGCUCUACAGCGAAAGCGUUAAGUAAUCCACCUGGGGAGUACGCCGGCAACGGUGAAACUCAAAGGAAUUGACGGGGGCCCGCACAAGCGGAGGAACAUGUG